rnacentral:lncRNA from 1 species
GAAAAUCACAAUCACUCUCUCUCAAUCACUCUGAAGUUUUUCUUUGCAAUUCAUCAAGUUCUUUACUCUACUCUCUCCAAUCCACACUCAUCAACAAUAACAACAAUAAAGAGUAUCAUAGAAUCCCCAUCCUACAGGCUAAAUGUUCAAGAAGAAGAAGAAGAUUACGUUGUCAAAGAAGAUUUGAGUUCAAAUUGCUUACCUCAUUGAAGAUCCUCUGGUUUUCUUGCUCCAUUUUCAUCAGCUUCGCAUUCAACGCG